AUGAACGCUAGCUACAGGCUUAACACAUGCAAGUCGAGGGGCAGCGGGAUUGAAGCUUGCUUCAAUUGCCGGCGACCGGCGCACGGGUGAGUAACGCGUAUCCAACCUUCCGCUUACUCGGGGAUAGCCUUUCGAAAGAAAGAUUAAUACCCGAUGGUAUCUUAAGCACGCAUGAGAUUAAGAUUAAAGAUUUAUCGGUAAGCGAUGGGGAUGCGUUCCAUUAGGCAGUUGGCGGGGUAACGGCCCACCAAGCCUACGAUGGAUAGGGGUUCUGAGAGGAAGGUCCCCCACAUUGGAACUGAGACACGGUCCAAACUCCUACGGGAGGCAGCAGUGAGGAAUAUUGGUCAAUGGGCGAGAGCCUGAACCAGCCAAGUAGCGUGAAGGAUGACGGCCCUACGGGUUGUAAACUUCUUUUGUGCGGGAAUAAAGGAGCCUACGUGUAGGCUUUUGCAUGUACCGUAACGAAUAAGCAUCGGCUAACUCCGUGCCAGCAGCCGCGGUAAUACGGAGGAUGCGAGCGUUAUCCGGAUUUAUUGGGUUUAAAGGGAGCGUAGACGGGUUUUUAAGUCAGCUGUGAAAGUUUGGGGCUCAACCUUAAAAUUGCAGUUGAAACUGGAGACCUUGAGUACGGUUGAGGCAGGCGGAAUUCGUGGUGUAGCGGUGAAAUGCUUAGAUAUCACGAAGAACCCCGAUUGCGAAGGCAGCCUGCUAAGCCGCCACUGACGUUGAGGCUCGAAAGUGCGGGUAUCAAACAGGAUUAGAUACCCUGGUAGUCCACGCCGUAAACGAUGAGAACUAAGUGUUGGGGAGACUUAGUGCUGCAGUUAACGCAAUAAGUUCUCCGCCUGGGGAGUAUGCACGCAAGUGUGAAACUCAAAGGAAUUGACGGGGGCCCGCACAAGCGGUGGAGUAUGUGGUUUAAUUCGAAGCAACGCGAAGAACCUUACCAGGUCUUGACAUCCCGAUGCUAUUCUUAGAGAUAGGAAGUUACUUCGGUACAUCGGAGACAGGUGGUGCAUGGUUGUCGUCAGCUCGUGUCGUGAGAUGUUGGGUUAAGUCCCGCAACGAGCGCAACCCUUAUCCUUUGUUGCCAGCGGUCCGGCCGGGAACUCAAAGGAGACUGCCAGUGAUAAACUGGAGGAAGGUGGGGAUGACGUCAAAUCAGCACGGCCCUUACGUCCGGGGCUACACACGUGUUACAAUGGGGAGUACAGAGGGCAGCUACCGGGCGACCGGAUGCGAAUCCCGAAAGCUCCUCUCAGUUCGGACUGGAGUCUGCAACCCGACUCCACGAAGCUGGAUUCGCUAGUAAUCGCGCAUCAGCCACGGCGCGGUGAAUACGUUCCCGGGCCUUGUACACACCGCCCGUCAAGCCAUGAAAGCCGGGGGUACCUGAAGUACGUAACCGCGAGGAUCGUCCUAGGGUAAAACCGGUAAUUGGGGCU
rnacentral:rRNA from 1 species